rnacentral:rRNA from 1 species
AAAGAAACCAACCGGGAUUGCCUCAGUAACGGCUAGUGAAGCGGCAAGAGCUCAAAUUUGAAAGCUGGCCCCUCCGGGGUCCGCAUUGUAAUUUGCAGAGGAUGCUUCGGGCGCAGCCCCCGUCUAAGUGCCCUGGAAUGGGCCGUCGGAGAGGGUGAGAAUCCCGUCUGGGAUGGGGUGCCUGUGUCCGUGUGAAGCUCCUUCGACGAGUCGAGUUGUUUGGGAAUGCAGCUCUAAAUGGGUGGUAAAUUUCAUCUAAAGCUAAAUAUUGGCCGGAGACCGAUAGCGCACAAGUAGAGUGAUCGAAAGAUGAAAAGCACUUUGAAAAGAGAGUUAAACAGCACGUGAAAUUGUUGAAAGGGAAGCGCUUGCGACCAGACUCGCUCGCGGGGUUCAGCCGGCAUUCGUGCCGGUGUACUUCCCCGUGGGCGGGCCAGCGUCGGUUUGGGCGGCCGGUCAAAGGCCUCCGGAAUGUAGCCCCCCUCGGGGGGCCUUAUAGCCGGGGGUGCAAUGCGGCCAGCCUGGACCGAGGAACGCGCUUCGGCUCGGACGCUGGCAUAAUGGUCGUAAACGAC